rnacentral:rRNA from 1 species
AUUGAACGCCGGCGGCAUGCCUUACACAUGCAAGUCGAACGGCAGCACGGGUGCUUGCACCUGGUGGCGAGUGGCGAACGGGUGAGUAAUACAUCGGAACAUGUCCUGUAGUGGGGGAUAGCCCGGCGAAAGCCGGAUUAAUACCGCAUACGAUCCACGGAUGAAAGCGGGGGACCUUCGGGCCUCGCGCUAUAGGGUUGGCCGAUGGCUGAUUAGCUAGUUGGUGGGGUAAAGGCCUACCAAGGCGACGAUCAGUAGCUGGUCUGAGAGGACGACCAGCCACACUGGGACUGAGACACGGCCCAGACUCCUACGGGAGGCAGCAGUGGGGAAUUUUGGACAAAGGGCGAAAGCCUGAUCCAGCAAUGCCGCGUGUGUGAAGAAGGCCUUCGGGUUGUAAAGCACUUUUGUCCGGAAAGAAAUCCUUGACUCUAAUACAGUCGGGGGAUGACGGUACCGGAAGAAUAAGCACCGGCUAACUACGUG